AUAAUGAGUUUGAUCCUGGCUCAGAAUGAACGCUAAUAGUAUGCUUUACACAUGCAAGUCUAACGAAUUUUUCGUGGCAAACGGGUGAGGAAUAAAUAGAUUUUAACCUUUUGGAAAAAAAUAAAACAUAAUCUUUUUUAUCUAUAAUUUUGACUAAAAAUAUUUUAUUAUUUGUGUUAAUGUUUUAUAAAAAUUACUAAAAAUAUUGAUAGAUAUAAUUAUUUAUAUCUGUAUUAAUGUGCCAAAAGAUAAAUCUGUUUAAGAUUAGGUUGUUGGUAGAAAAGACUACCAAGCCGUUGAUCUUUAGUUGAUUUGAGAGAAUGAUCAACCACACUGGAACUGAGACAAGGUCCAGGCUAAUGUUUUGGCCAGCAGUGAGGAAUAUUGGACAAUGAACGAAAGUUUGAUCCAGCAAUACUAUAUGAAUGAUGAAAGCUAAUUUGGUUGUAAAGUUCUUUCAAUUAAUUAUGAUAAUGACAUAAAUUAAAGAAGAAGUCCCGGCAAAUCUCGUGCCAGCAGCCGCGGUAAUACGAAGGGGGCUAGCGUU
rnacentral:rRNA from 1 species